AGAUUGGGGUGAAGUCGUAACAAGGUAGCCGUAGGAGAACCUGCGGCUGGAUCACCUCCUUUCUAAGGAGA
rnacentral:rRNA from 1 species